rnacentral:lncRNA from 10 species
UAGCAGAGCACAGUUGUACGUGCCUAUAGUUCCAGCUACUCGGGAGGCUGAGGAGGAAGGAACAAGGAAGGGAUGGCAGCAGGGAAAGGGUUGAAAGCAGGGCAAGUUAGAGAAAGGUGUACAUCUUCUAUCACAGGGUAGGUGCACAGUAAGUAUUUGUUGAAUGAAUAAGUGAAGAUUGUAGUGGAUGCUGUAGUGUGCCAC